rnacentral:lncRNA from 1 species
AAUAGAGUUUACUGACACAGCCUCCUGCGUCCCGUGCCUACCCUCUGUGGCUACUUUGUCACGGCAGCAGAGCUGGGCAACUGGGACAGAGACCAAGAGCCUGCAGGACUGAAGGGCUUUAUGGUGUGGCCCUUUGUGCAGCAUGUGCCCACUGGUCACCCGCUAGAUACUCACACAGCACACCACACACCACGUACCAGGAAGUCUCACCUACACACACGUACACACACACGCAGUAGGUACACACAUCACACACGUCACACACUAUGUACGCACAGAUACCCUCCUGCCUGAGGGGCUGCCCCGGCUGGGCAGUGUGGCUCGGCCACAGGAUUGGCUACUGCACUGUGUGAGCGGCAGACAUCUAGACACAGAGCUCCCUCUUCCGUAGUUUUCUUGUAUCCUUCAUGACCUGUCACUUCUGGGACCAUGUCCAGGUAGGUGUCAACCUCAGAUGUGUGUGGGCUGCUUGGAUCUGAGCCUCUGGCUGCCGGGGUGCGCCUGGUGGCUCCCGAGCACUGUUUCCGAGCACCCGGAUUACUCCCUGUUGACAGCACAUGCCCUGUCUCCUCCCUGAGCACGCUGCUUCUCCCUGAGCACCCCUCUCCUCCUGAGUACCCGCUUUCCUCUGAGCCCCCCGUUCUGUGCUGGUGAGCCACUGAAGGUCUAGCCUAUGGAGAUGUUGGCCUUGCAUGCAGCAUUUGGGUAUGACUUAGNAUGUAGGGUUUUUUUCUUUUUUUUAAAAAAAAGAUGCUAUUUAAAAUAGUCUUGAGCGUGAAGUGCCCUAUUUUUGGAUUUAGUGACUUUGUGAGCUCAGUAGAACUCUGUAUCCUGCAGCCAGGUUUAUCCAGGAAAUUCAGGACCUGGCUCUCCAGGCCAAUGUCCCUCAGCCUGACCGUUCUGCUCCAGGAGGUCCUGGGGGCUGCCUGGGCGGAGGCCACAUGUCUUCCUGGGGACAUGUCCCUGCCUCAUUCUGCUGGAGACACAGGCUCAGCUCUGAGGCCUCCCCUGCAACCACGUCACAGCUGAGCCUGUGCAUGGACACACCCUGUGUGUGGACCCACGCUGGGCGGUCGAUGCCAGGAUGGCCACUCUCUCACUGUCCUGUCAGGUUGGCAUCUGUGUUCACCAGCUGUCUGCGCUGGUUGGCAGACGCCCCUGGGAGGUCCUCCCCUGGAACACGUGGGCCCGUGGCUCACAGACCCACAACGGAGUGUCUGGCGGGCUGUGAGGUGGCAUCCUGCUCGGGUCCCGGCUCUCCUGGGUGAAGGCUCCUGCCUUGGGCUCCUCCCCUGCAGGUGGGGACAGUGGUAAUGGCACCUCCCACAGUCCCUGGGAGGUGAGUGAGGCCAUGUGCUUGGAGCUCCGAGGACACUAUGGGGUCCCUGGCCAGAGCAGCCCGCAGCUGACACAGAGGCCAGGGCUGGAUCAUCUCCUGAGAUCCAUUUAAUUGCUGGACACAGGGUGGACAUUAUCAUGUUGAAAAGUUUAAUUUCAUGCUAAGUCACAUGAAAAAUGUCUUCUGAGAACUCCUGUCUGAGGGGCUGCCCCAAGUGGCCAGCGUGGCUCAACAGUGUCCUGGGCUGUUUCCAGGAGCUGCUUGUCUUCAGCUUGUACCCAGUGGAUGGGCUGGGCUGCCGUCUCCCCAGCCAAUGUCCUCUGUGUCCCUGGGCCUCAGUAUCCUGCCAGAGGGUGACACUCAGACAAUAGGAGGAAGCUGCCCAGCGAGGAUUCAGGAAACCAAAUCAGCUGACUAGAGAGGGAGAAGCAGAGGAGGAGACGCAGAAAUGUGGACCAGAGACAGCUGGAGACCGGGGGGCACUGAGGCAUCAGGUGCUGGGAGACGUCAGGGCCAGAGGUCGACUAGGCCGCGUGCCAGAGCACCUCCAGGAAGGGAGACGGAGGUGGAGGGGAGGCCGAGGGGCGCGCUCAGCCACCCCUUCCUCGGGGCCCUGGGCUUCCAGCACAGGUGGGAAGAGGUUGCAGCGGGUUGUGAGAGCAGCACUGGGCAUUUGGAUUUCGCCACUCCAGGGGCAGGGGACCAUCGGCAUUGGAGCCCGGGUUUGGGAAGCAGGGAGCCGGAGGUCGUUCAUCCCUCGCCUUUGCCUCUGCCAGCUGCACUGUAGCCAGGGAGAGGUUCUCUGGUCCACCUGCCUGGACCCAGCCCCUCUGGGACAGUUUUACCUGCUGCAAGCUUCUCUACUGACGAGAAGCAUGUUCAGGAGGCGGUCAUACCUCCUGAAGGGGAGCUGGACGGAUGGGGACAUUUUAUACCUUUGCAUUUUCUGCAUAUUGGGCUGCGUGAGGAAGUUAUUGAUGGACACAGGGCAGUGCGACUUUAGGGAGCAGUGCCGUGCUGCAGCUUGCUCGUCUGCCCCGGGCCCACACGGAGCUGCCCCUCUGUGCUGGUUGCACACAGACCCAGGAGAGAGCAGCUGGGUUCUUCAGCACCCCCCACCUCCGGGCUGACCCUGUCCCUGCCACAGCUCCUCUAGCACUUGGUCCCUGGUUGCCUUUCGUGGGCAACCUGCAGCCCGGGUUCCAGAACCACAGGUAACACGCCCGUCUCCCCGGGCUGGUGGGGGGCUGCAGCCCUUCUUGCUCCACGGGUCUUUUUCCAAGUCACACAGAGCAGCAAGUGCUCCAGUCAGAAGCCCCCCGUGAGGACCAAGGUGGCCUGCUUCAGCUGAUGCCCUCCAGGCUUCCUGCUUACUCGACCCUUACUUGUACCUUCUCCAUUAUGUGAUGAUCCACGGGGCUUUUUAAAAAUCAGUUUCUCUUAAAUUCUCGCCCACUGCUCAAUGUGUUAAGAUCAUUAAUUCCCAAGAGCAGAGGUGAUACCUAUUCCACCUUUGCAUUCCCAGGACAAUCCUUGUAAAUAUUGCAUGCCAGAUUACCACUCCUGGACGUGGAGUGGCUGUCACAGAUGUGGAAUGGUAUACGCACUGAGGCCACAGGACACCUUGGUGGAGCACUCCGCUGCCACCUGAAGACAGACCGCUGGUUCCUCCAGGGUAGCUGGGGGAAUAGCCUCUAUUGCCCCACCUGUGAGAUGAAGGGCAGUCUUGGUGGCCUGUGGGGGCCCCUCCACUGCUAAUUACCCAGUUACUGGCAUUCUGGGUCAGUAUUAUUUUUUUUCUCAUUUUUUAAUUUGUUAGGAAAAAAAAAAAUGAGUGACUGGGAAAGGUUGGCUUGCAGCCUGAUGCAGUAACUGGCUGAUCUUGCCCUCUCCAGGCCAAAGCCUGCAGCCCUGGAGAGAACCUGAGAAGACCCCGACUCAGACGGGGGACAGCGGAUAGCCCAGGACGUGGUCUGAGGAGAAGGAAGGAGGGCCAUGCUGGGGCUGUUCCUGCUCUGUGAGAAUUCAGCUCCCUCCCCGGGGGAGGCACCAGGCAGAAGAGGGGUCUUGCCAGGUUGAGAAGACAGAGGCGGACCCUGGCUGAGCUGGGUGCCUGGACUUUGCAGAGAAGAGAGUGGGGAGUCAUGUAGAAAGAACUCCAGGAAUCCACACAAGCACAGGACGGAAUCCCACCACUUAGGCGAAGCUGUAAACUGAAACUUUCCAGAACUUGCAAACACACUAGAUUCCUGUCAAGCCCAAGAAAAGAGACACAAGAAAAAAAUGGGAGGAUUAAGUAUGGAUCCUAAAAGGGGCAUCGCUUAGGAGAGGCGCUGCCUUAGCCUCGGAGUAGAUGCCACCCCAACCUGCCCUAGUGGCCCUAAAACCAGGUAUGGAAAGGGUGGAGUUACCCUGUUACUCAAAACAGUACAGCGUUCUCAAGAGGGGAAGAUGGUGCAGACAUUCAGCAGUCACCACCACGAUGUUCAGCAGCCCUCAAACCUCACCAGACACCGGAAGCCCAGGAGGUGACUCGAGGCCAGGAGCCAAGCUGGUCCACGUGUGCUCUCCGCAGAGAGAGGGUGGAGUCCGCCUUCGGAAUGUCCAAGCAGCAGUUUAGAUACAAUUAGGGAAGGAAGGAANUGGUGAAGACGGGGGGGGAAGACCCUG